GACGAACGCUGUUGGCGUGCCUAACACAUGCAAGUCGAGCGAAGUGAGUACUACGGUACGAACUUAGCGGCGGACGGGUGAGUAACGCGUGGACAAUCUACCCUGUAGACUGGGAUAACACCUCGAAAGGGGUGCUAAUACCGGAUAAUGUCGAGAAGCGGCAUCGCUUUUCGAAGAAAGGAGAGAAUCCGCUAUAGGAGGAGUCCGCGUCCCAUUAGCUAGUUGGUGAGGGUAAUGGCCCACCAAGGCGACGAUGGGUAGCCGGCCUGAGAGGGUGAACGGCCACACUGGAACUGAGACACGGUCCAGACUCCUACGGGAGGCAGCAGUGGGGAAUAUUGUGCAAUGGGGGAAACCCUGACACAGCAACGCCGCAUGAGCGAAGAAGGCCUUCGGGUUGUAAAGCUCAAUAGUAUGGGAAGAUAAUGACGGUACCAUACGAAAGCCCCGGCUAACUACGUGCCAGCCGCCGCCGUAAAAC
rnacentral:rRNA from 1 species